rnacentral:rRNA from 1 species
CAGUAGCCGCGGGAAUACGAAGGGGGCUAGCGUUGUUCGGAUUUACUGGGCGUAAAGCGCACGUAGGCGGGCUUUUAAGUCAGGGGUGAAAUCCCGGGGCUCAACCCCGGAACUGCCUUUGAUACUGGAAGUCUUGAGUAUGGAAGAGGUGAGUGGAAUUCCGAGUGUAGAGGUGAAAUUCGUAGAUAUUCGGAGGAACACCAGUGGCGAAGGCGGCUCACUGGUCCAUUACUGACGCUGAGGUGCGAAAGCGUGGGGAGCAAACAGGAUUAGAUACCCCAGUAGUCCCUGUCUCUUAUAA